rnacentral:rRNA from 1 species
UAGGGAAUCUUCGGCAAUGGACGAAAGUCUGACCGAGCAACGCCGCGUGAGUGAAGAAGGUUUUCGGAUCGUAAAACUCUGUUGUAAGAGAAGAAUGACAUUGAGAGUAACUGUUCAAUGUGUGACGGUAUCUUACCAGAAAGGAACGGCUAAAUACGUACCAG